GCUGGGUUGGCACAGCGGCGACUGCACCGCUUUUGUAAGGCGGAAUAUAAACAACGGGGGUUCGAGUCCCUCACCCAGCACCA
rnacentral:tRNA from 1 species